UACCUCACACUAACUACUCUCAGUACUUCAUUCCCCUCUGAGAACCGCACACCGUUCUUCUCGUUCUUCUUCUCACAUCUCCAUCAUUCCUUUUUCUUCUUCUCCUUCUUCUUCUUUCUUCUUCUUCUUCUUCUUCUUCUUCUUCUUCUUCUUCUUCAUUUCAUCUUUUUCAUCGCUCAAAUCUCUUCCAAGUUUUUAUCUCAAUGUUAAUCGCAAUCUGAAUCAUUUCUCGGACAAGCUAGUGUUGAUUUUGAUUGAAAUUUGAAUCGCGCUCUAGUCAUCAGAUCUGGAGCAGGGGUUUAGUGUUGGGAGUGGUAGUGUUUACUUUCUUCUUUGUAUUUGUCUCUGCAGACGAUGUUGUUGUGCUCACCGAAGAUAACUUUGAGAAGGAGGUUGGUCAGGACAAAUGGUGAUUUAUUUACUCUUCCUGCUCCUUCUCGUUUUGUCUAUCUAUGUCUCUCUACUAAUCGAGAAAUGGUUUAUCACUGAGUAUCUGAAUUCUAUGAUUAGAAGAUCUAGAUUUUGAUUCUUGUUUUCCAUCAUUCUAAAUACAAGUUGAAUCUGGCAACAUGCUAAAAUGAGUGUGUGUCUUCUUCUAACUUCUAAGUCCGAAAGAAACUCUGUGUGAGAGACCGAACAAGGGGUUGCAUUAGCAAUUUUGAGGGGAGUAAUUGACUUCAAGAGGGAGCCAUAGCCGCAGAUAUCAGAUAGUGCUAAGAGCCUCGUGAGGCAGAUGCUGGAGCCUGAUCCUAAGAAGCGGUUGACAGCAGAGCAGGUUCUUGGUGAGUCACUCAGUUGUCUUGCAUUUGGUUCCAGAUAUUGGCCCAUCCAUUUUGUCCCCCAAAAUGUUUUAGGGAUUUAUGUGAUAAUUGUAUAACCCCCCUCUUAAAAUUGAUUUGCACAACUUCUGUCUUUGGGAGAUAUUUCUAUUUCAUUGUGUAUUUGUGUUAAAAAAGGUUAAUUUAUUGAGAUUCAGUUUAAUGAGUAUAGAAA